GGUGGGAGCGAGCCUGCUCGCGAUGGCGACGCUCAUUCAACACGGAUGUCGAUUGAUCGACCGCCAUCGCGAGCAGGCUCGCUCCCACA
rnacentral:misc_RNA from 1 species